GUUAGCUACAAAACUUGGAUACUUACAUUUUUUCCCCCGCCAGAAUACUACGAGCAACAGCUUAAAACUCAAGGACUUGGCGGUGCUCUAAAUCCAUCCAGAGGAGCCUGUUCUAUAAUCGAUAACCCACGUUAAACCUCACCAUUAUUUGCCAACUCAGCCUAUAUACCACCGUCGCCAGCAUACCUUAUUGAAAGCAUUAAAGUAAGCAAAAAUGACUCCACAAAUACGUCAGGUCAAGGUGUAGCAUAUAUUCUGGUAAGAAAUGGGCUACAUUUUUUAAAAUAAACAACGGAUAAUAAAAUGAAAUUAUAUUUUAAGACGGAUUUGACAGUAAGAAAAGAUCAUAAUACUCUUCUUAAACUGGCCCUAGAGCGCGC
rnacentral:rRNA from 1 species